rnacentral:rRNA from 1 species
AUACUGUAGGUGACCUGCUGCUGGAUCAUUA